rnacentral:rRNA from 1 species
UUCCGGUUGAUCCUGCCGGAGGCCAUUGCUAUCGGGGUCCGAUUUAGCCAUGCUAGUCGCACGAGUUCAGACUCGUGGCGCAUAGCUCCGUAACACGUGGCCAAACUCCCCUUCGGAGGAGCACAACCUCGGGAAACUGAGGCUAAUUCUCCAUACGACACUCGGCCUGGAAUGGUGAGUGUCCGAAAUGCUUCCGCGCCGAAGGAUGUGGCUGCGGCCGAUUAGGUAGACGGUGGGGUAACGGCCCACCGUGCCGAUAAUCGGUACGGGUUGUGAGAGCAAGAGCCCGGAGACGGAAUCUGAGACAAGAUUCCGGGCCCUACGGGGCGCAGCAGGCGCGAAACCUUUACACUGCACGCCAGUGCGAUAAGGGGAUCCCGAGUGCGCAGGCAUAGAGCCUGCGCUUUUCUGAACUGUAGGGAGGUUCAGGAAGAAGAGCUGGGCAAGACCGGUGCCAGCCGCCGCGGUAAUACCGGCAGCUCGAGUGAUGGCCGAUCUUAUUGGGCCUAAAGCGUCCGUAGCUGGCCUAGCAAGUCCGUCGGGAAAUCCACCCGCUCAACGGGUGGGCGUCCGGCGGAAACUGCGAGGCUUGGGACCGGGAGGCUUGAAGGGUACGUCCGGGGUAGGAGUGAAAUCCCGUAAUCCUGGACGGACCGCCGAUGGGGAAACCACUUCAAGAGAACGGAUCCGACAGUGAGGGACGAAAGCUAGGGUCUCGAACCGGAUUAGAUACCCGGGUAGUCCUAGCUGUAAACGAUGCCUGUUAGGUGUGACUCCCACUACGAGUGGGUGUUGUGCCGUAGGGAAGCCGCUAAACAGGCCGCCGGGGAAGUACUUCGGCCGGGAUGAAGCUUAAAGGAAUUUUUGGGGGGAUGGGACUCAUAAGGAUCCCCGGGUACCAACCCGGGAUUCGAAACCCUGGGUCUUACAUGUUUGUUUGCUGAAUUGUCAUUGGGGUCAAAUAUUCACUCCCACCACACAACUCGAAACCAAAAGUAGUAAGUAUAAGAGGUGGGGGAGG